AUCGCUUCUCGGCCUUUUGGCUAAGAUCAAGUGUAAUCUGUUAUAGUCUUGAAAUUUAGGAAUAAAAACUGAAAAUGAAUUUUGGAUUCUGGUUUUCUUUUCCUUCCAGCUUAACCAGGGAGCAGUUCCUGCUUUGUUUGGUUGGGGGCCUAUUCCUUGUGUGAGCAUGGAAAGAAAAGGGCAUCUUAU